rnacentral:rRNA from 1 species
GACGAACGCUGGCGGCGUGCUUAACACAUGCAAGUCGAACGGAAAGGCCCUGCUUUUGUGGGGUGCUCGAGUGGCGAACGGGUGAGUAACACGUGAGUAACCUGCCCUUGACUUUGGGAUAACUUCAGGAAACUGGGGCUAAUACCGGAUAGGAGCUCCUGCUGCAUGGUGGGGGUUGGAAAGUUUCGGCGGUUGGGGAUGGACUCGCGGCUUAUCAGCCUGUUGGUGGGGUAGUGGCUUACCAAGGCUUUGACGGGUAGCCGGCCUGAGAGGGUGACCGGCCACAUUGGGACUGAGAUACGGCCCAGACUCCUACGGGAGGCAGCAGUGGGGAAUAUUGCACAAUUGGCGGAAGCCUGAUGCAGCAACGCCGCGUGCGGGAUGACGGCCUUCGGGUUGUAAACCGCUUUCGCCUGUGACGAAGCGUGAGUGACGGUAAUGGGUAAAGAAGCACCGGCUAACUACGUG